UGUAAAGUUCAAGCUCCGAUUGUGAGGGCGAAACCGCGAAUGGCUCAUUAAAUCAGUCAUAAUCUACUUGAUUGUUUGAAAAGUUAUAUGGAUAACUGUGGUAAUUCUAGAGCUAAUACAUGCACAAAAGGGGCGAUUCCUGCAAGGGAAAAGCUUUGCGUUUAUUAGUAAAAAGACUAAUGAGAAUUUAUUCUCUAAAAUGUGGUGACUCUGAGUAAAUAAUGGCUGUAAGGCCAUGAUGCCGACCUGGCAUACCAAAUUGCAGCAAUGCAAGCCAGGCGAAUCAAUCGAGUGUCUGCUCUAUCAACUGUGGAUGGUAGGGUAAUUGCCUACCAUGGUGAUGACGGGUAACGGGGAGUUAGGGCUCGACUCCGGAGAACAAGCCUGAGAAACGGCUAGUAGGACUAAGGUCUGCAGCAGGCGCGAAACUUACACAAUGCUAGAUUUCUAUGAAUAAUUAGCGAUGUAGUGAAGAAAAAUAACGAUGUAUUGGUUUUUUAACAAACUAGUACAAUUGGAAUGAGACGACUUUAAAUAAGUUAGUCGAGUAACAAAUGGAGGGCAAGUCUGGUGCCAGCAGCCGCGGUAAUUCCAGCUCCAUUAGCAUACAUUAAAGUUGUUGCGGUUAAAAAGCUCGUAGUUGAAUUUCUGGCGGGCUCUAUUGGGUGGCAGCCGUACAAGGGUUUUGGUAUUUAUACCAAACCUGGUUGUCUUACUCCAUUAGGAACCCGUUGUUUCGUCACUUAAUCGAGUGCGAAGCGGGAUGUGAUUCAAGUAAAUUUAUUUUACUAGAUUUGCAUCAUGUUUACCUUGAGAAAAUUAGAGUGCUCAGAGCAGGCAGUUGGGGUGUAAAAGCUCCUUUAUGCUUGAAUAAUGUUGCAUGGAAUAAUAGAAUACGGCCUCGGUUCUAUUCUGUUGGUCUUAUAGAACAACAAACAAGUUAAAUGCGGCAUCAAAUGGUUGCAAUAAUUUGUGGUAUAAAGCUCUAAUAUAGUUGCUACUUGUUGUCUAGGACCUAAAAAUCUUAGUACCUUUAGUCUAUGUUAUCUGGAUAUCAUUUAAAGCAAGUUAUUGUAACUAGCCAUCAUUUAACUGAGGCAAUGGUUAAAAGAAAUAGUCGCGGCGGCAUCAGUACUGCAUCGUGAGAGGUGAAAUUCUUAGACCGAUGCAAGACUAACUGAAGCGAAAGCGUUUGCCGAGGAUAUUUUCAUUAAUCAAGAACGAAAGUUAGAGGUUCGAAGGCGAUCAGAUACCGCCCUAGUUCUAACCAUAAACGUUGCCAACUAGCAAUUGGGUUGCGAUUCCUUUAAUUGAAGACUUAAAAACUCUUCAAUCAUUAUGAUCCACCCAGCGGCUCUCGUAGGGAAACCAAAGUGUUUGGGUUCCGGGGGAAGUAUGAUUGCAAAGUUGAAACUUAAAGGAAUUGACGGAAGGGCACCACCAGGAGUGGAGCCUGCGGCUUAAUUUGACUCAACACGGGGAAACUUACUAGAUUAGAACUCUGGAAUGAUUGACAGAUUGAUAGCUCUUUCUUGAUUCAGAGGAUGGUGGUGCAUGGCCGUUCUUGAUUCGUAUUCCGAAACGUCUGCUUAAUUGCGAUAACGAGUGAGACCUCAUCCAACUAACUAGUCGCUUUGGUGCGCUGUGGAACGCAAAAGUUUGCAUUGGUUCAACUUAACUUUCGAGUGGUAAAACAUGAGGAAGUUAAACCCAGUGUAAAUGUUCUCUGCUCGCCAGCGGACUUCUUAGAGGGAUAAACGGUGUUUUAGCCGUAAGAAACGAGGCAAUAACAGGUCUGUGAUGCCCUUAGAUAUUCUAGGCCGCACGCGUGCUACAAUGGCGUGUGCAGAAAGCUUAUUCGAGGUUCGUCCCUGGAGAACUAGUUGUUUGGUUUAGUGUGAUGGGCAACUGUUGCAUUGGAUCGGCAAAAAAGUGACCAGGUGCUACGGGCCGAGAGAAACCGAAUUCGAAAGAAUUUGGCAAUCAUAAAUACACGCCGUGAUUUGGGAUUGGGGAUUGCAAUUGUUGCCCAUGAACGAGGAAUUCCCAGUAAGCGCAAUUCAUCAUAUUGCGUUGAUUACGUCCCUGCCCUUUGUACACACCGCCCGUCGCUACUACCGAUUGGAAGUUUUAGUGAGGCAUCUGGACUUGCUAGCCAUGUUUGGGGGGCAACCCACAAGCGAGGAUGUGCGGGGAAGUUUGUCGAACUCAAAUUCUAGAGGAAGUAAAAGUCGUAACAAGGUUUCCGU
rnacentral:rRNA from 1 species